CACGCACCUCGGCACCUGCUCCACUAGCUGCGGCCCACGACACAUGUUUCUCCACGACACAUGUUUGCUAUUUAUAGCUCAAAACCUGACAGGAACGUUUCUUUCUUGAGAAGUUUUGGGAUACUUUCAACAAAUUUUCAGGGACCAAGACUAUUUUCCCUUCUUCUCCAAGGUAUGCCUACGACAAUGAGAUCGACGGAUCGACUGUAGUAGAAACUUUAGAUUCGAGAACCAACCGUACUUCCAUGAUGCAUGCACAAUAUCUACUACGAUACUAAUAUGUCUUCUUGCAAACC